UGCCAGACUCCUACGGGAGGCAGCAGUGGGGAAUAUUGCACAAUGGGGGAAACCCUGAUGCAGCGACGCCGCGUGAGUGAAGAAGUAUUUCGGUAUGUAAAGCUCUAUCAGCAGGGAAGAUAAUGACGGUACCUGACUAAGAAGCCCCGGCUAACUACGUGCCAGCAGCCGCGGUAAUACGUAGGGGGCAAGCGUUAUCCGGAUUUACUGGGUGUAAAGGGAGCGCAGGCGGCGUGGCAAGUCAGAUGUGAAAACCCGGGGCCCAACCCCGGGAGUGCAUUUGAAACUGCCAUGCUGGAGUGCCGGAGAGGUAAGCGGAAUUCCUAGUGUAGCGGUGAAAUGCGUAGAUAUUAGGAGGAACACCAGUGGCGGAGGCGGCUUACUGGACGGUAACUGACGCUGAGGCUCGAAAGCGUGGGGAGCAAACAGGAUUAGAUACCCCAGUA
rnacentral:rRNA from 1 species